AAUCAACGCUGGCGGCGCGCCUAACACAUGCAAGUCGAACGAGAAAGGGGAGCAAUCCCUGAGUACAGUGGCGUACGGGUGAGUAACACGUGGAUGAUCUACCCUUUAGUGAGGAAUAACUAUGGGAAACCGUAGCUAAUACCGCAUAAGCUCGAGAGAGGAAAGCAGCAAUGCGCUGAAGGAGGAGUCCGCGGCCGAUUAGCUAGUUGGCAGGGUAAAAGCCUACCAAGGCAGAGAUCGGUAGCCGGCCUGAGAGGGCACACGGCCACA
rnacentral:rRNA from 1 species